rnacentral:pre_miRNA from 1 species
UUGCUACUCCCUCCGUCCGGAAAUACUUGUCAUCAAAAUGGAUAAAAAAGGAUGUAUCUAGAACUAGAUGUAUUUUAGUUCUAGAUACAUCCUUUUUUAUCCAUUUUGAUGACAAGUAUUUUCGGACGGAGGGAGUACAUC